rnacentral:rRNA from 1 species
CGGGGUGAGUAACGCGUGGAUAACCUGCCGUAUACUGGGGGAUAACACUUAGAAAUAGGUGCUAAUACCGCAUAAGCGCACAGUCUCGCAUGAGACGGUGUGAAAAACUCCGGUGGUAUACGAUGGAUCCGCGUCUGAUUAGCUUGUUGGCGGGGUAACAGCCCACCAAGGCGACGAUCAGUAGCCGGCCUGAGAGGGUGAACGGCCACAUUGGGACUGAGACACGGCCCAAACUCCUACGGGAGGCAGCAG